rnacentral:rRNA from 1 species
AGCGAACGCUGGCGGCAGGCCUAAUACAUGCAAGUCGAGCGCCCCUUCGGGGGAGCGGCGGACGGGUGAGUAACGCGUGGGAACGUGCCCUUUGGUACGGAACAACUGAGGGAAACUUCAGCUAAUACCGUAUGUGCCCUUCGGGGGUAAAGAUUUAUCGCCAUUGGAGCGGCCCGCGUUGGAUUAGGUAGUUGGUGAGGUAAAGGCUCACCAAGCCUACGAUCCAUAGCUGGUCUGAGAGGAUGAUCAGCCACACUGGGACUGAGACACGGCCCAGACUCCUACGGGAGGCAGCAGUAGGGAAUCUUGCGCAAUGGGCGAAAGCCUGACGCAGCCAUGCCGCGUGAAUGAUGAAGGUCUUAGAUUGUAAAUUCUUUCACCGGGAAGAUAAUGACGGUACCCGGAGAAGAAGCCCCGGCUAACUUCGUGCCA